CGCAGUAGGAUAGGCGAAGCGUGCGAUUGGAUUGCACGUCUAAGCAGUAAGGCUGAGUAUUAGGCAAAUCCGGUACUCAUUAAGGCUGAGCUGUGAUGGGGAGAAGACAUUGUGUCUUCGAGUCGUUGAUUUCACACUGCCGAGAAAAGCCUCUAGAUAGAAAAUAGGUGCCCGUACCGCAAACCGACACAGGUAGUCAAGAUGAGAAUUCUAAGGUGAGCGAGCGAACUCUCGUUAAGGAACUCGGCAAAAUGACCCCGUAACUUCGGGAGAAGGGGUGCUCUUUAGGGUUAACGCCCAGAAGAGCCGCAGUGAAUAGGCCCAAGCGACUGUUUAUCAAAAACACAGGUCUCUGCUAAACCGUAAGGUGAUGUAUAGGGGCUGACGCCUGCCCGGUGCUGGAAGGUUAAGAGGAGUGGUUAGCUUCUGCGAAGCUACGAAUCGAAGCCCCAGUAAACGGCGGCCGUAACUAUAACGGUCCUAAGGUAGCGAAAUUCCUUGUCGGGUAAGUUCCGACCCGCACGAAAGGCGUAACGAUUUGGGCACUGUCUCAACGAGAGACUCGGUGAAAUCAUAGU
rnacentral:rRNA from 1 species